rnacentral:rRNA from 1 species
GAUGAACGCUGGCGGCGUGCUUAACACAUGCAAGUCGAACGAAGCACUUUAACCUGAUUCUUCGGAUGAAGGUUUUUGUGACUGAGUGGCGGACGGGUGAGUAACGCGUGCCUAACCUGCCUCCUACAGGGGGAUAACAGUUAGAAAUGACUGCUAAUACCCCAUAAGACCACCGAGCCGCAUGUCUCGGUGGUAAAAACUCUGGUGGUAUCAGAUGGACCCGCGCCUGAUUAGGUAGUUGGGGGGGUAACGGCCUACCAAGCCAACGAUCAGUAGCCGACCUGAGAGGGUGACCGGCCACAGUGGGACUGAGACACGGCCCAAACUCCUACGGGAGGCAGCAGUGGGGAAUAUUGCACAAUGGGGGAAACCCUGAUGCAGCGACGCCGCGUGAGCGAAGAAGUAUUUCGGUAUGUAAAGCUCUAUCAGCAGGGAAGAAAAUGACGGUACCUGAAUAAGAAGCACCGGCUAAAUACGUG